UCCCCUGACUCAGGACCGCUCCCUGCACCAGGGAACAUGGAGCUGCAUCCAUGGCUCUCCUGCCCCCUCCAUCGGCUCAGGCUGUCCCUCCCUCUGCUCUGGGCUCUCAGGGCUCCUGGCUCCUCCUCUUCUGCAGAGGGCCUGCUCUCAGCCUGCCCCAGGAGGCUGUCAGGAAAUGGGCUGAGCAGAGAGGCAGGGCUCCUCCCCAGGCCUCCCCCAGCCCCACCCACUCUGGGUCAUCAGCUGGGUGGUCUUCUAGGAGAGCCCCUCACUGCCUGCUGCCUGUGACAGCUGUGCAGAGCCCGGCUCUGACUUCAUCCUUGUGUCCUGGGGUUCCCGUCUUUGGAGCAGGACUGGAGUGUGAGAGGGUGUCUGCCGGUCCUGUCGUCUGUCCCUUUCCUUCUAAGGCCCGAGGAGGAAGCCAUGCUGCAGGCUCUCACCCUCCUUCUAGCUUUCCUGGCUCCUGCCACUCAAGUAUCUUCCAACUUGGAAGGGACACAGAUGUCAGUCACCAAACAGGCUGGGUCCUCUGUUGUAAUCACCUGUGAUUUUAAACAAAGCAUCACCUAUGUCCACUGGUACCGAUACGUGGAGGGGAUGGCCCCACAACGACUUUUGUACUACCAUUACCACAGCGCCAAAUUUGUGAUGGAACCAGGAAUCAGUUCACAGAAAUAUCGUACCUAUGAAGGCACAGGGAAGAACCGUAAAAUUGAAAUCCGAAAUCUGGAAGAAAGGGAUUCUGGUGUGUAUUACUGUGCUGUCUGGGAGAACUGGAUCAAGAAAUUUGGAAAAGGGACUAAGCUCGUAGUAACUCCCUCUGAUAAACGCCUUCCUGCAGACAUUUCCCCCAAGCCCAUUAUGUUUCUUCCUUCAAUUGCUGAAAUCAACCUCCAUAAGACUGGGACAUAUCUUUGUCUUCUUGAGAAAUUCUUCCCUGAUGUUAUCAAUGUAUAUUGGAAAGAAAAGGAUGGCCAUACAAUUCUGCAAUCCCAGCAAGGAAAUACCAUGAAGACUAAUGACACAUACAUGAAACUCAGCUGGCUGACCGUGACUGAAAAGUCAAUGGAUAAAGAACACAAAUGCAUUGUCCAACACGAGAAAAAUAAAGGAGGGGUUGACCAAGAGAUUGCUUUUCCUUCAGUGAUCAAAGUUCUCGUCUCAAUUGUCACUACUAUUGAUUCUUCCAAGCCUUCUCUGAAAGAGAAAAGAAUUGUCACUGCUUCUAAUUCUACAACAGCUUCUCCAGCAGAGGAAAGCAAGGUCAUGGCUAUUAAUUUGACAGAAGCUUGUCUGAAAGAUGAGAGCAAUGCCCUGCAGCUGCAGCUCAGCAGCACUUUGGCCUGUUACGCCUACCUCCUCCUCCUCAUCAUGAGCGUGGGCUACUCUGCCAGCAUCGCCUUCUGCCUGUUUAGGAGAACAGCAGUCUGUGGCAAUGGAAAGAGUUCAUAACGGAUGGUGGCACAAAGAAGACAACUUUUCUCCAUUGUUUAUUCUCCUUAAAAGUGUAUCCUGAAGAUCUAGCUGGGUUUUCUCUCUGAGUUUGGGUUAUUUCAGUUCACAUGUGUAUUUUUCUAUUAUGUCGAUAUUACAAAAUGGUUUUCUAAGCCACUGGGCAAACAGAAAAUCUUACUCUGUAAUAACAGUGAGUUCUGCCAUUACUCAGGGCCAGAGCCAAGGGAUAGUCCUUUAGCAACACUCUUUCCAUGAUCUCCAUCAGCUGCUCCAGGCAACCCGAAUACCCAUGCCUUCUGAGUACAGACAGCAUGCAGCUCUAGUCACGUCGCUAGGGCCAUUUAACCAGGACUGACUUGAAGCCUUCCAUUUCACACACCAUGAAGCCAUCAUCUUUGCUGCUUAAAUUCUGUAUUUUGCUUUUCAUAAUAGGCACAAUAAAAAAACCAA